UACGUAGGGGGUGAGCGUUGUCCGGAGUUACUGGGCGUAAAGGGCGUGCAGGCGGUGCGGUAAGUUUAGCGUGACAGUCUCCGGCUUAACUGGAGAAGGCCGCUGAAAACUGCUGGACUUGAGGGCCAGAGGGGGACAUAGAAUUCCGGGUGGAGUGGUGAAAUGCGUAGAUAUCCGGAGGAAUACCAAAGGCGAAGGCAGUGUCCUGGCUGGCAACUGACGCUGAGGCGCGAAAGCUAGGGGAGCGAACAGG
rnacentral:rRNA from 1 species